GGAGCUUUUUACAGGCAUUUCCUUCAGUGCUUCCUACAGAGAACAAUGGAGCCAGAGAUUUUCUCCAAAGGAACAUCCGGUGCUUGCCCUGCCAGGAGCCCCGGCCCAGUUCCCCGUCCUGGAGGAACACAGGCCACUACAGAAGUACAUGGUAUGGUCAGACGAAAUGGUGAAGACGGGAGAGGCCCAGAUUCAUGCCCACCUUGUCCGGCCCUAUGUGGGCAUUCAUCUGCGCAUUGGCUCUGACUGGAAGAACGCCUGUGCCAUGCUGAAGGACGGGACCGCAGGCUCGCACUUCAUGGCCUCUCCGCAGUGUGUGGGCUACAGCCGCAGCACAGCGGCCCCCCUCACGAUGACUAUGUGCCUGCCUGACCUGAAGGAGAUCCAGAGGGCUGUGAAGCUCUGGGUGAGGUCGCUGGAUGCCCAGUCGGUCUAUGUUGCUACUGAUUCCGAGAGUUAUGUGCCUGAGCUCCAACAGCUCUUCAAAGGGAAGGUAUGUGUGGGCCAAGUGGGAGUGCAGUAGGAAGGGAAUGAAAGGAGGAGCCAGGAUGGUCCCACUGCCCACUGCAUGCUUCACGGGCUCCCCUACAAGCCUUUUGCCUGGACCUACCAUUCCUCUUCAGUUCCUACCCUCCUUCAAACCCCGGCUCAGAGGCCUCCUCCGUAGUCUUUCCAGGUUUUCAUCCACUUCUGGAGCUCACGUAUCCCUGCUGGGACCUUCAUGGCCCUGUAUCAUUUCUUCUCUUGGGCACUUUCUGGACUGUAUGA
rnacentral:sRNA from 1 species